rnacentral:rRNA from 1 species
UACGUAGGGUCCGAGCGUUGUCCGGAAUUACUGGGCGUAAAGCGCGCGCAGGCGGCUUCCCAAGCGCCACGUGAAAGCCCCGGGCUCAACCCGGGAGGGUCGCGGCGAACUGGGAGGCUUGAGGCCGGUAGAGGUGGGUGGAACUCCUGGUGGAGUGGUGAAAUGCGUAGAGAUCAGGAAGAACACCCGUGGCGAAGGCGGCCCACUGGGCCGGUGCUGACGCUGAGGCGCGAAGGCCUGGGGAGCGAACGGG